UCAACGCUGGCGGCGUGCCUAACACAUGCAAGUCGAGCGCGAAAGGGGACUUCGGUUCCUGAGUAGAGCGGCGGACGGGUGAGUAACACGUGGGUAACCUAUCCUUGGGUGGGGAAUAACUUCGGGAAACCGGAGCUAAUUCCGCAUGAUAUCCCAAAUUCUCAAGCGUUUAGGAUCAAAGCUGGGGAUCCUUCGGGACCUGGCGCCUAAGGAGGGGUCCGCGGCCGAUUAGCUUGUUGGUGAGGUAAUGGCUCACCAAGGCUUCGAUCGGUAGCCGGCCUGAGAGGGCGGACGGCCACACUGGGACUGAGACACGGCCCAGACUCCUACGGGAGGCAGCAGUGGGGAAUUUUUGUCAAUGGGGGAAACCCUGAACAAGCAACGCCGCGUGGAGGAUGAAGGCCUUCGGGUCGUAAACUCCUGUCAGAGGGGACGAAUGUGCCUGGGGUUAAUACCCUCAGGUAUUGACGGUACCCUACGAGGAAGCCCCGGCUAACUCC
rnacentral:rRNA from 1 species